UAGUAGAUACCUUGUGCCUGGAAGGUUCUUCUUACGAGGGACAUGGGAGUGAACAAACAGGUAAGGUCCCCUCCCCCCUGGAACUUGUAGUCCAGUGAACACAAUCAAUCCAUUUAGGACUUGAACAUUUGAAAUUGAGACUUCCCUGUACCUAUAAUUAUCAGAACUGUAUGAGAUCCUGAGGUGGAAAGAUGGUGACUUCUGUGGGCUUUUUUGCUCAAACACAAUUCUUUAAGAAAGAGACCUGCAUCUCGGGCUGCCCACCGCAGUGUGAGGAUGUGAGAAAGACCCAGGGACCUCACAGACCAUGUGAUGUCACAGAAGGCACAGGACUGCCAGGUGCAGUGGGUCACACUGUAAUCCCAGCACUUUGGGAGGCAAACAUGGGGGUGUCGCUUGAGGUCAGGAGUUCAAGACCAGCCUGAGCAACACAGCAAGACUCUGUCUCUGCAAAAAACCAAAAACCAAAACCACAGGGCGGGGAGGUCAGACCAGCUGCCUGGAAUCCCAGCCCAGACCCUCACCAGCAUGUGACCCAGGACGGGCCACGUGCUGUCUCCUCAGGAAGCCUCAAUUUUCUCAUCUGGAGACAGGGACAAUGAAUCCCUUCCAGGAUCACUGUGAAAAGACAGGUUGAGCAUCUCUAAUUCGCAAAUCUGAAAUCCGAAAUGCUCCCAAAUCUGAAACUUUCUGAGUGCGGACCUGAUGCCGUCUCGUUCUGUCCAGAUGAAGAUCUCUUCGAGUGGCUACUUGGAAUGCACUCCAGAGGCCCCUGACAUUGAUUCUUCUCUAGACUCAAACUAACCUAGUUACAUGUCCGCCCUCGAACCAGCGGCUGCAGCCGAAGCAAUUUAUGGACAUGUCUCCUCAUGGUUUCAAGACAGCUGCUGUGGCUCCAGGCAUCACACUGGGACAUGAUAAAAUCAAGCAAAGAGGAGGAGGGCAUUUUUUCCCCUGUGUCUCCUUUCAUGAUGGAGAAAAUUGUUCCCAAAUUUCCCCCCUGCAGAUCUGCAGACUUCUUAUUGGCCAAGAUGGCGUUACAUCUAUAAUUCCAAACCAGUCACUGAUGGAGGAAUGAGAAUGACUGCAGUUGGCUUGGACCUAUAACUCACUCUGAAGCCGGGGCGAGGAAUAGCCACCGUCCCUGAGCUCCUGAGUAGAUGCACAACCAACAAAACUGAAUCCCGUCAGCGAAGGAGUCAUGGGUGGGCAACCCGUGCUGUGUCUACCAUAAGCACAACUCCUGGUGCUCAUGAGGUGCCCCCAAAGGCUGGCAUUUGGCAAGCUCAAGACUGGGAGUCCACACAGUGCUCCAGGUGGGAGGAUCACAACCGCGAUUGGCCAGGGAGUCCCUCUGGGUGCCAGACCCCUGUAUGCAAAGCCCCACUCAGCAUCUCCACUUGAUUGGCUUAUGGGAACCUCAAAUCCAACACACUAUAUUUGAACUCAUCAUAUUUCCUCCCCACUGGCCUCCUCUGUUGGUACCCACCUUGCUCAAGCCAGAAGCUGGCUGGUCCUCAGGAGUCCCUGCUUUCCUUCCCCAUCUGUGCCCACGUCUCUCCAGCUCUGCCAUCAUCUUCCACCUGGACACCAACCAAGCCCCCGCUCUCCCUGCUGCUGUGUGGGCAUCAACAGCCUAUGCUGUUCCCUCUGAACGGAACUCUUCCCGCUCCUGUUUCCCUGUCACCUUGCUCAGGAAAGCUCUUCUGAUCCCCCCAAGUUGAAUCCCUCAUUACAAACCUCACAUCCUGACAUACAUCUCUCCAUUGCCCUGAUCAUACUUCUUAUUUACCUGUGUGAUUAUUUCACUCAUGUCUCACCCCACCAGGUUGCAGCUCCAUGAGGGUGGGAAUUGGGUCUGUUUUGUUCACUGAUAACCUUCAGUGCCUGACACAUAGUAGGGCCUCAAUUUUAUUCCUGAAUCCCAUAAAUGAAUAAAUUCAUCCCCUGCCCUGUGGCCAGGGAGAUCACUCUAAGAAGCAAAUCUAAUCACUCCCUCUCCUGCCAUAAGCCUUCCAUGGCUCCCCUUUACCCACAGGACAAAGUCUAAAGGGCUUAACCUGGCUCUUUCAGGCUCCUCAAAGUGGAUUCUGCCACCUCUCCAGCCCCAUCUCACCUGCCCCAUUGUCCUUUACGGUCCAGCCACCCUCUACUCCUUUAGGUGUCUCAAAGUCUGCAUGUUCUCUCCUAUCCCUGGAUUUGCCUAUAUGCUAUGUUUCUCCCGGAAACUUUGUCUCAAAAAAUCUUCAUUCUCAUUGCCAAGGCUUUAAAAUUUGCCUCUUUUGGGGAAGGUUUAGUUCUGUAAGCUCAUUCUGGAAAUCUGGGUUCCUUCUAUCUAGCUGUUGUCAUCCUCAGUCCAUAGCUUCCAGUCAAGUCCAAAACAGCUGCUAUAGCUUCUCCGUCACAUCUACGUUCCAGGCAGUGGGGAGAGAGAAAGGGUCAUUCCUCUUAAGGGCAUGACUCAGAAGCAGUGCUAUCACUUCUACUCAAUCCCAUUGGCUGGAGCUCAGUCAUAUGACCAUGCCUAACUGCAAAGGAGGCCGGGAAAUAGAAUCACUAUCUGCCGAUUAUGUUAGCAUGUUUCCCACUAAUGCUCCAAAAUUCUCUCAGUAUGAGAAAAAAGCUGAUGGAUGUUGGUGGACACUGAUGGUCCUGCCACACUCACCCCCACAGUGCCAG
rnacentral:lncRNA from 1 species